GUCCACGCUGUAAACGAUGUGUGCUAGACGUUGGGGAGCCUAGCUCUUCGGUGUCGCAGCUAACGCGGUAAGCACACCGCCUGGGGAGUACGGCCGCAAGGUUAAAACUCAAAGGAAUUGACGGGGGCCCGCACAAGCGGUGGAGCAUGUGGUUUAAUUCGACGCAACGCGAAGAACCUUACCAGCUCUUGACAUGUCUCGUAUGGGUGGGGGAGACCUCAUUCUUCAGUUCGGCUGGCGGGAACACAGGUGCUGCAUGGCUGUCGU
rnacentral:rRNA from 1 species